ensembl:processed_transcript B430212C06Rik RIKEN cDNA B430212C06 gene
AGUUUGUUUUUCUCUUCUGGAGACUGGGGUGACUAGUGACAUCACCAAUGUCAGCGAUAUGGCUUGGCAGUAGAGAAGCAGGUGUGCGUGGGGCGAGCGGAGUGUCCGAACAGGCUGUCUGCAUGCUGGAGUCUCCAAAGCCCGACCCAGGGCUGGGCGGCUGGCCAGCGAGUUCCCGGGGGACAGGAGGAAGUUGCUGGGGACACGCGUAACCGCAGCACUUCGGGUUCUCAGAGGUGCCAGGGCUUCCCUGUGGGUAGGGACGAUCCAACUCAGGACACAAAACGGCAUAUAAUCCAUCAAAACCCCGCCACCUUGUGCCUAUACAAUCAUAGAUACAGAGGAGUACUGCCACUAAGAUUUCCCUACUUCCGGGGACAUAGAAUCUCACAAAUGCUCUUUGUCCAGGACAGCUCGGGAACCACGUGGUCUAAGCCCGUGGUGCAGUUCACUAUCACGGACAACAGAGGGCGCUUUACCCUUAGGAAGGCAGAGCCAGUUCCUGUACCCCAGUAGUCCUUACAGAGACCGCACAGGAGGCCUGGAUGGAGUCUUCCAUUGGGAACUGCAGGGUAAACCAUGCCCUGGCUGCGGAAGGCUCCGGCUGAUGCUGGACGGAGAGAAGGAAUAUCUUUGCCGAGACAAGCCAUGCUUCUUCCUGCUGAUGAUCCAGUCUCGGGGGGUGGUUGGAAGAUGCUGUCCUUGACCUGAGCAGCCCACAACCUCAUCUGUUCCCUCAGACAUGCAGGGAUCCGCUUACCAAUAUGGCUUUCCCAAUGUAGAACAUGCUUACAUGCCUGCAGCAUUCAGGCUAACGGCACCUGGAGAAUGGGGUUAUCCUGAAGGGGGGCCCAUCUUAAUUCCCUGUUCAGUCUGAGACAUUGUGAUUCUCCAGCUUUCUGUAUGUAUCUGUAUGUAAGGCCCUUCUGCCAGAAGACACGCCUAUCAUAUGACUGACAGCAUUCUCUCCCCAAUGGCAUUGUAUUUGCUACCUGGAGCUCCUGCUUUUAUAAGCAUUUCCCUACCCACACCACACCUUUCCUCCUUUACCACCUGAUGGCCUGCUCCGGUCCUCACCCAGCCCCACUGGACCGUUCCAAGGUCAUUCACAAGGUCACUUUGAAGCCUGGAGGGCUUCCCCAUGCUUCACUGGGUGCCAUGAGACUGCAGACUCAGUGUCUAGCUCCUGGGGCAUGGGCCCAUAAGAAGUUAGUACUCAUCAAGAGCCGCAAGCAGAACUUCCAACAACAAAAGGUUCCAGUUCAGGUCAUCUGUCGGGGACAGCUGCUGGCAUGCAUAGGUUGAGUGGUGGCAAGUGUUAGCCCAGGCAAACAGCUGGACACACCAUGGCCCAGUCUCUCCCCAGGCUGGCUACAUUGUAGCCUCAACAGGUAGCUUUUCCAAGUGAUUGUAUAUCACCACUGUCUCAAGUUACUUUUUCCACUGCUGUGAUAAGACGUGGCGACCAAGGCAUCUUGUAGAAGAGUUUAUUUGGGGCUUACAGUUUCAGAGGGUUAGACUCCAUGACCAUCAUGGGGGAAAGCAUGGCAGUAGGCAUGGUGCUGGAGCAGUAACCGAGAGCUCAUAUCUUGAUCCACGAAACAGUUAACUGGGAAUGGCAUGGGCUUUCAAAACCCCAAAGCCCACCCCUCAGUGACACACCCCUUAAAAACAGUUCCACUGAGAACCAGGCAUAGAACUAUCCUGAUCCCUUCAUGGAUAAUCGGAUAAUUGGGAAAGUGAUUAGUGGGGUUGGCUGAAUUGGGAAGCCUGGGAGAGAAAGGGCUGAAGCAGCCAGGACAAGAAGCCCCGAUCUGGGAAGUGGUUUUCACAGUGCCUGUCCUUCCUGGAAGUCUGUGUUGAUGCACACACUUCUCCAGGUACCUACUGGAGCACCGUUUAAUCUGCCUAUUGAACUUCCACUCCCAAGCAUCUAACAGUGUAAGCUCAGGGGUUAAACUGCAUCCUUUCACACAGCUCUGCCCAUCCCAUUGACUCACAGGCUCUGAAGGAUUCGGGCUACAGACAUUGAUCUUUUGACUACCCUGUGUGUGUACAUGGGGGUCAGAGGAUGGCACUGGGAGUCUCCCUUAGUCACUCUCCACCUUAUUUUCUGAGUCAGUCUCUCCCUGAAUCUGAAGGUCACCAGUUGGGUAGAGCAGCUUGCCAGUGAGCCCCAGAGAUCCUCCCGAUGCCCAUCUCCAGUGUGGCAUCGCAAAGCAGGUCCUCACGCCUGCAGGCGGAAACUUACCAACCGAGCCAGCCACCUCCCUGGACCCUGCUUACACUUUUAAACAUUUGCUCUAAUUACACUUUGCCUCCAUAGGAAAAACAGAGAUAAAUGUUGUUUCCAUCUGAGGAGAGGCACAGGCACCAUAUUCUGAGCUAUACCAAGAACCCGGAGUGCAGAAUGCAAAUGGUUUUUCAAUCUGUCUAAGCUGUGGAGCAGCCCAACAAGACGUUUCUGGUUUCCUUUAAUAUUAAGGUGAGGCAAUCUAUUGAGCCAUGGGAGAUGUUACAAUCUUUGAACUUUUAAAUAAUAAUUAAUUGUGCACAGU